GCCUACGGGAGGCAGCAGUGGGGAAUUUUGGACAAUGGGCGCAAGCCUGAUCCAGCAAUGCCGCGUGAGUGAAGAAGGCCUUCGGGUUGUAAAGCUCUUUUGUCAGGGAAGAAACGGUCCUGGCUAAUAUCCUGGGCUAAUGACGGUACCUGAAGAAUAAGCACCGGCUAACUACGUGCCAGCAGCCGCGGUAAU
rnacentral:rRNA from 1 species